CCUACGUGGAGCAGCAGUGAGGAAUAUUGGUCAAUGGACGAGAGUCUGAACCAGCCAAGUAGCGUGAAGGAUGACUGCCCUAUGGGUUGUAAACUUCUUUUAUAUGGGAGUAAAAUGUUCAACGUGGGGGAUUUUGUAUGUACCAUAUGAAUAAGGAACGGCUCACUCCGUGCCAACAGCAGCGGUAAAACGGCGGAUCCGAGCGUUAACCGGUUUGAUUUGGUUUAACGGGGACGUAGGUGGGUUGUUAAGUUAGUUGUUAAAGUUUGCGGCUCAACCGUAAAAUGGCAGUUGAAACUGGCAGUCUUGAGUACAGUAGAGGUGUGCGGAAUUCUUGGUGUAGCGG
rnacentral:rRNA from 1 species